AUCUCCCUGCUGCGUUCGCGAAGGUCGCGUAUUCUUUGAACCGAUAAGCGUAAGCGCAGGUCACGGUCUUUCAUCGCGGGCGUGCGCGUGGCUUUUGUCCAUGUACCCGAAGCGGCUGAACCGUGACCGACCUUGAACCUCCGGGUUCAGGAUUGCGGUCUGGACGGCGCCAGCGGGGAGACC
rnacentral:other from 1 species